AGUAACACGUGGAUAACCUACCUAUAAGACUGGGAUAACUUCGGGAAACCGGAGCUAAUACCGGAUAAUAUAUUGAACCGCAUGGUUCAAUAGUGAAAGACGGUUUUGCUGUCACUUAUAGAUGGAUCCGCGCCGCAUUAGCUAGUUGGUAAGGUAACGGCUUACCAAGGCAACGAUGCGUAGCCGACCUGAGAGGGUGAUCGGCCACACUGGAACUGAGACACGGGUCCAGACUCCUACGGGAGGCAGCAGAG
rnacentral:rRNA from 1 species